rnacentral:rRNA from 1 species
GAUGAACGCUGGCGGCGUGCCUAAUACAUGCAAGUCGAGCGAACAGACGAGGAGCUUGCUCCUCUGACGUUAGCGGCGGACGGGUGAGUAACACGUGGAUAACCUACCUAUAAGACUGGGAUAACUUCGGGAAACCGGAGCUAAUACCGGAUAAUAUAUUGAACCGCAUGGUUCAAUAGUGAAAGACGGUUUUGCUGUCACUUAUAGAUGGAUCCGCGCCGCAUUAGCUAGUUGGUAAGGUAACGGCUUACCAAGGCAACGAUGCGUAGCCGACCUGAGAGGCGGGCAGCCCACAUGGGAGAGGGAACCGGGCCCAGACUCCUCGGGGAGGCGGAAGUGGGGAACCUGCGGAAAUGGGGGAGAGUUUGACGGAAAAGCGCGGGGGGGGUGAUAAAGUUCUCGGGUGCGUAAAACUGUGUUUUGGGGGAAAAAAAAAUGUGUAAGUAAAUAUGCACUUCUGGACGGUAAUUAAUAAAAAAGCCACGGCUAACUACGUG